GCCGGCUUAGCUCAGUUGGUAGAGCGACGCACUUGUAAUGCGUAGGUCACGAGUUCGACUCUUGUAGCCGGCACCA
rnacentral:tRNA from 1 species